ACCGCGAAUGGCUCAUUAGAUCAGUUAUGGUUCCUUAGAUCGUACAACUCCACUCGGAUAACUGUGGCAAUUCUAGAGCUAAUACGUGCAAGAAAGCUCUGACCUCGCGGGAAGAGCGCUUUUAUUAGUUCAAAACCAAUCGGGUCGCAAGGCCCGUCCGUUUGGUGACUCUGGAUAACUUUGUGCUGAUCGCAUGGCCUCGAGCCGGCGACGUAUCUUUCAAAUGUCUGCCCUAUCAACUUUAGAUGGUACGUGAUAUGCCUACCAUGGUUAUAACGGGUAGCGGGGAAUCAGGGUUCGAUUCCGGAGAGGGAGCAUGAGAAACGGCUACCACA
rnacentral:rRNA from 1 species